GCAGCAUUCAGUGCUGAACUGACGCGGAAGGAUGAAGCUUCUACCGUGCUGUCUGCUGUUCCUGUCUCUCUGUUCACCUUGGACUGUGUCAUCAGGUACAUUUAUUGUGACCCAGACUCCUGACAUUGUGGUCAUGGAGGGGCAGAGGAUACACAUCACCUGCUGCUGGACUGAAGAGUUUGAAAGAGUGAGAGUGAAGUGGCUAAAAAUUCAAACAGAAACUAAGUUUGUGAGUAUCAGCUCCGAGACCACAUGUCAGGGAGCUCUGCAAAACCAACCAUGUGAGUGUUCAACACUGGAUUUUUCAAGUAUCACAGGAGAAGAUUCAGGGAGAUAUGUCUGCAAGGUGUCGGUGGAGGUACCAGCUUAUGCUUCAGCCACAGGAAAUGGUACAUACAUCACAGUUAUGGCCCGAAAGAACACAGAUGACGACACAGAUCAGCCCACGGCUGGAGGUGUUUCAUUUACAGAUGCUGUGACCCAGAGUCCUGAUGUCUCUGUUAAGGAGGGGGAGACUUUUAACAUCACCUGCUGCUGGAGAGGAAACGCUGAGAAAAUAAGACUUCAGUGGCUGAAAUAUAAAACAGGAGAUAUGAAUGAGACUAUCAUCUUGAACAAUCAAUCUCAGGAACCUCUGAAAAGUGACUCAAAUUACUGCUCAAAUUUGACCUUUUCAAACAUCACAAGAGAAGAUUCAGGGAGAUACAUCUGCAAGGUGAAUUUGGAGAUACCAUUUCAUGCUGUACACCAAGGAAAUGGAACAGUCAUCACAGUUACGGACCAUGAGAAGCACACAGAUUCUGGACAUUCAGGUCAUAACUUCACCGUGAUAAUUGGCACAGCUGUGGUGGUUCCUUUGCUCCUCAUCACUCUGACCUGUUUCUGUGUUUUGCGAACGAAACAAGAGCAUGUGUACAAGCAUGCACAUGCAUUACAGAUGCUGGGGCAAAGGGCUACAUACUAUGGCGCCCAGGGAGCUGGGGUGGAUCGGUGCCUUGCUCAGGGCCACAUAGGGAGGGUUGCGCUUGGUCGAGGGAUCAAACCGGCGACCCUCCAAUCUCAGCACAAGCAGCCAGGGUGAUCUAUGAGGUUCCCCACACUGACUCCGAGGUGGCAGAGAUGGAUAAACACAGCCCCACCUCCUCCAGAGGUUCCUCUCAGUGGUGUCAGGUUCCAGUGUACGAAUCCUUCGAUUACUUUGAGCGUGUGCAGCCGAAAGAAAGUGGAUGAGGAUCUGCUUCGGAAAUUUUCUGUUUUUAAUUUUCUCUAUAUCUGUAUAUAAUGUACAAACAUUUACGCGUCUAUACCAGAAACAUGUAAAAGUUUUUUAUGUGAGUGUAAAUAUUUUCUAUAAACUCUCUCUUUCUCAUC